rnacentral:sRNA from 1 species
GCCAGGCAUGGUGGUGCAUGUCUGUAAUCCCAAUUACUCCGAGGCUGAUGCAGGAGGAUUGAAAGUUCAAGGCCAACUUGGACAAUUUAGCAAGAUCUUGUAUCAA